rnacentral:lncRNA from 13 species
CAGCAAGAAUGAAUGAGAUACAGUUUUGUGACUGAAGGACUCACUGCCCAGAAGGAGGAGGCAGCCAUGUAAAUAGGUACCUGAGUUUCUACAACUUUGGCAAAAAUACUCGGCAACAUUUACUGGGAUUUUUGAACAUCCCACAUCCAGUCCUGUGUUAAGGAUUUCAUAGAUAUUAUCCUAUUUAAUCCUCAUCUAUAAGAUGCAGGCAGUGAAAAUGUGAAGAUCUGAGUGGUGUGAAAUGAAGUCACUUUCAGAGAAAACGUUUUGCUGAAAUUGAGAGUGAACUAUAUAUGCCUAAGUCAUACACCGAAAGCAGGAGACCUGUCCAGGGGACACACAGCCCCACAAUGUCCCCUCACCACCAAAAAAGCUGAUGCUGCUUACAGAAUCCUGUUCAAACUUUUUGGCUUGACACCUGGCUCUUCAAAUCUGGACCAAACACCUCUCUUCAGAAAAGGUCAACAGAUAUCUGCUUCUUCACAGUGCUGAGAAUUUACUAAAAGGUCUGAUGGCAGUGAAAAGUACUGAAAGACUACCUAAUACAUGAACUCCUAAGUCAGACUUUCAUGAGAAUGUGAAAGGAGAGAGCCAGUUUGGGAAAGGUGAGACUACUUGAUUACCUUGAAUUUUAGGGAUAGGGCAGUUGUGAUUAAUUGCAUAUUCUGCUUGACUGAGGAUCAGCCACAAAACCUCUUAUAUUUCUUUUAUUGUCAUUCAAAAUGUUUCUAAGAUAAUGGACUUUUGCAAUAAUGAAGAAUUAUGUGAGACAUUGAGAUUCUGGAGUUAAGUAGAUUGACGUUCGGAUCCCACCUUGACCAUGUAGAAUGUAUUAAGCAAUUGAUUUAGCCUCUGUGAGCUUG